rnacentral:rRNA from 1 species
GAACUCUUGCUGCUUCGUGACAAGUGGCGGAAGGGUGAGUCACGCUGGGAAACUGCCUGAUGGAGGGGGAUAACUACUGGAAACGGUAGCUAAUACCGCAUAACGUCACAAGACCAAAGAGGGGGACCUUAGGGCCUCUUGCCAUCGGAUGUGCCCUGAUGGGAUUAGCUAGUAGGUGGGGUAACGGCUCACCUAGGCGACGAUCCCUAGCUGGUCUGAGAUGAUGACCAGCCACACUGGAACUGAGACACGGUCCAGACUCCUACGGGAGGCAGAAGUGGGGAAUAUUGCACAAUGGGCGCAAGCCUGAUGCAGCCAUGCCGCGUGUAUGAAGAAGGCCUUCGGCUAGCAAAGUACUUUCAGCGGGGAGGAAGGGAGUAAAGUUAAGACCUUUGCUCAUUGACGUUACCAGGAAAAGAAGCGGGGGCUAACUCCUAUGCCACCAACCGCGAAAAAUACGGAGGGUGCAAUCGUUAAUCGGAAUUACUGGGCUUAAAGCGCACGCCGGCCG